UACGUAGGGUGCGAGCGUUAAUCGGAAUUACUGGGCGUAAAGGGUGCGCAGGCGGCUUCGCAAGUCAGGCGUGAAAUCCCCGAGCUUAACUUGGGAAUUGCGUUUGAAACUACGAGGCUGGAGUGUGGCAGAGGGAGGUGGAAUUCCACGUGUAGCGGUGAAAUGCGUAGAUAUGUGGAGGAACACCGAUGGCGAAGGCAGCCUCCGGGGCCAACACUGACGCUCAUGCACGAAAGCGUGGGGAGCAAACAGG
rnacentral:rRNA from 1 species